rnacentral:rRNA from 1 species
UACGUAGGUGGCAAGCGUUGUCCGGAAUUAUUGGGCGUAAAGCGCGCGCAGGCGGUCCUUUAAGUCUGAUGUGAAAUCCCACGGCUCAACCGUGGAAGGUCAUUGGAAACUGGGGGACUUGAGUACAGAAGAGGAAAGCGGAAUUCCAAGUGUAGCGGUGAAAUGCGUAGAGAUUUGGAGGAACACCAGUGGCGAAGGCGGCUUUCUGGUCUGUAACUGACGCUGAGGUGCGAAAGCGUGGGGAGCAAACAGG